UUAAAGUUUUAUUCUUGCUUAUUUAUUCAUUUUUUUUCUCUAUAUUAUAUGCAAGUUUUGUUAAACUAAAAGUUCUUUUUGCAGUGAUUUGGUUUAAUUAUCAAUUAAUUUUGGAAUUAGUAAUUGAUUUAGUAUUGUCAUAUUUCGUGCCAGCAGACGCGGUUAGACGAUUAAUACAAGUGAAUAUUUUUGGUUAAAAUAGUUAUUUAUGGUUUUAGGGUUAAUUUAUAAAUUUAUGAGGUGAAAUUUGAAAUUUUUUUUUAAUUCUUAUUAUGAUUCUGUGAAACUUAAAUAAUAAACUAGGAUUAGAUACCCUAUUAUUUUAAGUGUUAAUUAUGCUUACCUGGGUACUUUUAGUUAGGUUCUUAAAACCCAAAGAAUUUGGCGGUAUUUUAUUCCAUUUAGAGGAACCUACCCUAUAAUUGAUAAUACACGAUUAACUUUACUUGAUUUAUUUGUUUGUAUAUCUCCGUUAUAAGAAAAUCUUUUUGGAGUUUAAAUUUUCUUGAUUUAUAAUUAUAUAAUAUUUCAGGUCAAGGUGCAGCUUAUAAUUAAGAAGAGGUGGGUUACAAUAAAUUUUAAUUUAUUACGUAUUUAAUAGUGAAACAGUAUUAAUGAAGGUGGAUUUAAUAGUAAUUUAAUUUAUUUAAUUUAAUUGAUAUUGGCUCUGGAGUGUGUACACAUCGCCCGUCGCUCUCAUUAUUAAUUAAUUAUUUUAAUUUAAGGGUAUUUUAAUUUAGAUGAGAUAAGUCGUAACAUAGUAGAUGUACUGGAAAGUGUAUCUAGAAAUAC
rnacentral:ncRNA from 1 species